UCUUCCAGGUCCUAUACAACUUGGCAAGUGCUUGUUUAUUGGCAAAUAAAUAUAGACCUAAGAGGUCUUGGAAUAGUGUUUCAGCUCUAACUCAGGCAGAAUUUCCAAGUGCUAGUAGAUUCUGACAAGAGGACUAAUCCUUUCAAUACCCACUGCAAAGAAUGCAUCAUCUGGGACUGCAAAGAAGAGUUAAGCACACAGCCUGACGGAAUGACUCUGCAAGACAGGCCUGAGAGGACUGAGCUCCCAGAAAUAACAGAAAUCAACAGCAAGUAGCAAAUGAUACUGCCUCCAAGGAGACAAAUGGUUAAAAAGACUGGAUUUUGACUGAAAUGCUGACAGUCCUGUUCCCAGCUGUGCCAGUG